CCCCCGGCUCAACCGGGGAGGGUCAAUUGGAAACUGGGAAACUUGAGGUGCAGAAGAGGAGAUGGAAUUCCCGUUAGCGGUGAAAUGCGUAGAGAUGUGGAGGAACACCAUGUGGCGAAGGCGACCUCUCUGGUCUGUAACUGCGCUGAGGAGCGAAAGCGUGGGGAGCGAACCAGGAUUAGAUACCCUGGUAGUCACGCCGUAAACGUAUGAGUGCUAAGUGUUAAGGGGGUUUCCGCCCCUUAGUGCUGCAGCUAACGCAUUAAGCACUCCGCCUGGGGAGUACGGUCGCAAGACUGAAACUCAAAGGAAUUGACGGGGGCCCGCACAAGCGGUGGAGCAUGUGGUUUAAUUCGAAGCAACGCGAAGAACCUUACCAGGUCUUGACAUCCUCUGACACCCUAGAGAUAGGGCUUUCCCUUCGGGGACAGAGUGACAGGUGGUGCAUGGUUGUCGUCAGCUCGUGUCGUGAGAUGUUGGGUUAAGUCCCGCAACGAGCGCAACCCUUGAUCUUAGUUGCCAGCAUUCAGUGGGCACUCUAAGGUGACUGCCGGUGACAAACCGGAGGAAGGUGGGGAUGACGUCAAAUCAUCAUGCCCCUUAUGACCUGGGCUACACACGUGCUACAAUGGACAGAACAAAGGGCUGCGAGACCGCAAGGUUUAGCCAAUCCCACAAAUCUGUUCUCAGUUCGGAUCGCAGUCUGCAACUCGCACUGCGUGAAGCUGGAAUCGCUAGUAAUCGCGGAUCAUGCAUGCCGCGGUGAAUACGUUCCCGGGCCUUGUACACACCGCCCGUCACACCACGAGAGUUUGCAACACCCGAAGUCGGUGAGGUAACCUUUAUGGAGCCAGCC
rnacentral:rRNA from 1 species